UUAACCUACGGGGGGCAGCAGUGAGGAAUAUUGGUCAGUGGUCGGGAGACUGAACCAGCCAAGCCGCGUGAGGGAUGAAGGUACAGAGUAUCGUAAACCUCUUUUGUCAGGGAACAAAGGCGGGGACGGGUCCCCGGAUGAGUGUACCUGAAGAAAAAGCAGCGGCUAACUCCGUGCCAGCAGCCGCGGGAAUACGGAGGAUGCGAGCGUUAUCCGGAUUUAUUGGGUUUAAAGGGUGCGCAGGCGGUCGGUUAAGUCAGAGGUCAAAGCCCGGGGCUCAACCCCGGCCCGCCGUUGAAACUGGG
rnacentral:rRNA from 1 species